UACAGAGGGGGCAAGCGUUGUCCGGAAUUAUUGGGCGUAAAGAGCUUGUAGGCGGUUUGUCGCGUCUGCCGUGAAAAUCCGGGGCUCAACCCCGGACUUGCGGUGGGUACGGGCAGACUAGAGUGUGGUAGGGGAACACGGAAUUCCUGGUGUAGCGGUGAAAUGCGCAGAUAUCAGGAGGAACACCGAUGGCGAAGGCAGUGUUCUGGGCCAGUACUGACGCUGAGGAGCGAAAGCGUGGGGAUCAAACAGG
rnacentral:rRNA from 1 species